rnacentral:rRNA from 1 species
UACGGAGGGGGCUAGCGUUGUUCGGAAUUACUGGGCGUAAAGCGCACGUAGGCGGCUUUGUAAGUUAGAGGUGAAAGCCCAGGGCUUAACCCUGGAAUUUCCUUUAAGACUGCAUCGCUAGAAUCGUGGAGAGGUGAGUGGAAUUCCGAGUGUAGAGGUGAAAUUCGUAGAUAUUCGGAAGAACACCAGUGGCGAAGGCGACUCACUGGACACGUAUUGACGCUGAGGUGCGAAAGCGUGGGGAGCAAACAGG